rnacentral:tRNA from 1 species
UUGGGAGUAGUUCAACGGUAGAACGCCAGGCUUUGGACCUGGUGCUGGAGGUUCGAUCCCUCCCUCCCAAACCA